UCUCCAGCUUCUUUUCCAAAACCUUCCCUUAUAAAGGAAAGUUAGAGAUCAGGUGAUAGUUGUCUAAAAUAGUUGGACUGAGAGGUGACUUCUGCAGAUACCUAUAAAUAAACCAUCCCCACUUUCAAGAAGGCCAUCACCACCUUAAUCGACUGUUACUCAUCUCCAGAAAUCCAGCUUCACCCACAGUAGAGGCUUUAAGGGAAAAUAAACUCUUAGCUUUCAUCUUCUUAGUAAGUUUCCCUGCCAGCCCUACUAUUGUAUAAGAAAGCUUACUUUAAGUCUUAACAGAAUCAUAAUGCCUCUUAAAAUUGUUCUUCAGCCUUCCCUAAUCAGUUAGCCUCCAAACAUGCUGGACCACAAUCCCCAUAAACUCCAGCCAAUACAAGUCUGCUCGCUAAUGAAAACCAGUCUCCAACAUUUAGGGGGAGGGCAUUAAACUGGGAAGGGGGGCGGAAAUACUAACUUUCCUUCAACGGUCCUCUGUUUGGCUCAAGUUCUCGAGUCUGGUGCGUUUAAAUAUGCAGUUCAAAAUCCCACCGCUUCAAUAGAGAUCAGCUUUGGACAUGUAUGCUUGCUCACCGACCCGCGCGGCAAAGUGGCAAACCAAUCCUCUAAAGGAAGGAGCGGGCGAUGCGCGCGUUUCACUGGUCUCCAUGGUGAUCCGUCUCGGGAACGGAACACUCCUUAGAAAGCCUUUGUUUCGAGUCGGAGAAAAUACGGGGCGGGACCUGACCGGCGGGACGCUGUUUCCUGCGCUAUGGAGGCGGCCGGAGGGGUGUUCUCGUUCCGCGACGUCCGCUGGGACCCGGACCCGGUGCUGGAAGCUCACCCGGCGGUGCGGCUGCCGGCUCCAGUUCCUCUGGUGCUGGAUAAUGGUUCGUUCCAGCUGCGUUUGGGCUGGGCCUGCCCGCACGCCGCGGUGCCUGACGAGCCCUUGCUCCGCUUCCGUUCAUUAGUUGCCCGAAGUCGGGGAGCUCGUGGCGGCGCUGGUCCGGAAACGCAGGUGGGCAACGAUCUGGGCAGCCCCGAGCCCCUCCGAUGGCUCCUCCGCUCGCCUUUCGACCGCAACGUGCCUGUUCAGAUGGAGCUUCAGGAGCUGCUCUUUGAUCACGGCUUCCAGCGCCUGGGCGUCUCUUCGCAGGGCUGUGUUGACCAUCCAGUUGUGAUAACAGAGGCUGUCUGCAACCCUCUCUAUUCAAGGCAAAUGAUGUCAGAGCUCCUGUUUGAAUGUUACCAAGUUCCAAAGGUUUCUUAUGGUGUGGACAGCUUGUACAGUUUCUAUCAUAACAAAAGGCAAAGCUGGCCUUGCAGUGGUCUCAUAGUUUCUUCUGGGUACCAGUGUACUCAUAUUUUACCAGUCUUAGAUGGCAGGUUAGAUGCUCGAAAUUGUAAGCGUAUAAAUCUUGGAGGAUGCCAGGCAGCUCUGUAUCUUCAGCGUCUCCUGCAACUGAAAUAUCCAGGGCAUUUUGCUGCCAUCACACUCAGCCGUGUGGAAGAAAUACUCCAUGAGCACAGCUAUAUUGCAGAAGAUUAUAAAGAAGAGAUGCAAAAGUGGCGAUCACCUGAAUACUAUGAGAACAAUGUGCAUAAGAUGCAGCUGCCUUUUUCAAAUAAGCUGCUGGGGAGUACAGUCACAUCUGAGGAGAAGCAAGAGCGACGGCAGCAACAACUUCGACGGCUUCAGGAACUUAAUGCUCGCCGUCGAGAAGAAAAGCUUCAGCUGGAUCAAGAGAGACUGGAGAGGCUGCUCUAUGUUCAGGAACUGCUAGAAGAUGGUCAGGUGGAUCAGUUUCACAAAGCUUUGAUGGAACUGAACAUGGACUCUGCUGAGGAACUUCAGUCUUAUAUCCACAAGCUAAGUUUGGCCAUUGAGCAAACUAAGCAGAAAAUCCUCCAGGCAGAAGUGAGUGUUGAAGUGGACGUUGUGGACAGCAAGCCAGAGAUUCCUGACCUUGAUCCCGUGGGCAGUGAACAAUCCAUGGAAGAUGUAGAAAGCGUGAAUGAUUUUGAGCCUUUAUUUGCUGAGGAGCAAUCUGAAGUUGAAAAACCGGUUACUACAAUACAGCCCGUGUUUAAUCUGGCCGAGUAUCACCAGCUCUUUCUUGGCACAGAAAGAAUCCGAGUUCCUGAAAUUGUCUUCCAGCCAUCCCUAAUAGGAGAAGAACAGGCUGGGAUAGCAGAAACAAUGCAGUUUGUCCUGGACAGAUAUCCUAAAGAUCAACAGGAAAAGCUUGUCCAGAAUGUCUUCCUCACUGGUGGGAAUGUGAUGUAUCCUGGAAUGAAAGCUAGAAUCCAGAAAGAAUUGCUUGAAAUGAGGCCAUUCCAGUCUUCCUUUCAGGUGCACCUUGCUUCUAAUCCUGUUCUUGAUGCAUGGUAUGGAGCUCUGGACUGGGCACUAGAGUACAUGAACCGUGAAGAAGGCUGGAUUACUAGGAAAGAUUACGAAGAGAAAGGUGGAGAAUACCUUAAGGAACACUGCACUUCCAAUGUCUACGUGCCUAUCCGUCUCCCAAAGCAGGCUCCACGGACUGCUGAAACAUCAGCAUCAAGUAAAGUGAUAGGGACUACCGCAAACAGCGCCUCUGAGCAAACGUGAUUUGUAGAUUUCUCUUGGGCGAAGGUUGUUGCUUUCCAGAACUGCAAGACAAUCUACACAACUGGAUGUGCAUUUCAGAGACAUGUAUUGGGCAUCUCAGUCAAGCAUCUGCCAAAAACCAACCAAGGAAGAGGAGUCAGUAUGUUAUGAAGAUGAAAUCUAAGGGAAGAAAACCGAGAAAUGCUCACUGGAGGAAAAAACAUAAGCUCUGGAACCUAACCUCCCCAAUUCCCAUAGACUUAAGAUCAUGUAAUUCACAGUAUUGUUAUCCACAGUUUUCAGCUGGAACAGAGCUUUCAUGAAUAAGGAGGGACGCUAAUAAUUUGUAUUGUCAACCAAAAAUAUUGAAAUCCUAAUUAACUGGUUGGUUGAAACAUUUCUUUGAAGCAAUAAGCAUGCUUUGUUCACAGGUAAUGGGCACCAGAAAAGGCAUUUGUCCUGUAGAGACAGAAUGAGAAUUUUUUUUUUCUUGGCACUUGCCAAGUGUAGAAGUUAUACAUUCCUGGCUUAUACAUUUUUAAAAGAUCUGUUCCUUGGCAGGAUCACUUUUUAGUGGAAUUACUGUGCAAAUCUGGACAUAUCUGCUUAAAGAUAAGACCUGUCGAGUUCAGUGGUGCUUAAUGCCAGAUAAACAUGCAUAGGAUUACAGGAUUAUCUUUUUGAAAUUGAUCAAUUAAUUAUUGAUUAAUUAAAAUGUUGUAGGCCUAAUUGUCAUCUAUCUCAAAAUCUUAGUCUUAUGCUGGAUGUCUGAAUAAAUAAGAUCUAGCUGCCUUGAUGAUAUCCUUGAAGGCUCAGUUAUAAAUAAAUCUUAAUAAAUAAACAUGCCCUUAAGCUUUUGCAUAUAGUGUGAUCUUGACACCUUUUGCUGUGAAAGCAAGUUAUGCUUUGCUGUGGGAGAAGAUAUUAAAAA